CAGUUGAUCUUCUAAAGAGGUUUCCAUUUG
rnacentral:piRNA from 1 species